rnacentral:rRNA from 1 species
UACGGAGGGUGCGAGCGUUAUUCGGAAUUACUGGGCGUAAAGGGCGUGCAGGCGGCCUGGCAAGUCUGAUGUGAAAGCCCGGGGCUUAACCCCGGAAGUGCAUUGGAAACUGCCUGGCUUGAGUACCGGAGAGGAUGGGAGAAUUCCCGGUGUAGAGGUGAAAUUCGUAGAGAUCGGGAGGAACACCAGUGGCGAAGGCGCCCAUCUGGACGGCUACUGACGCUGAGACGCGAAAGCGUGGGGAG